rnacentral:tRNA from 1 species
GGAAGAUUGGCUGAGUGGUUUUAAAGCAAAAGAUUGCUAAUCUUUGACAAUUAUUUGUCUCAUGGGUUCGAAUCCCAUAUCUUCCG